CCUACGGGGCGCUGCAGUGAGGAAUAUUGGCCAAUGGGCGCGAGCCUGAACCAGCCAAGUCGCGUGAGGGAAGACGGUCCUAUGGAUUGUAAACCUCUUUUGUCGGGGAGCAAAAGACGCCACGCGUGGCGUUCCGAGAGUACCCGAAGAAAAAGCAUCGGCUAACUCCGUGCCAGCAGCCGCGGUAAUACGGAGGAUGCGAGCGUUAUCCGGAUUUAGUGGGUUUAAAGGGUGCGCAGGCGGAAGAUCAAGUCAGCGGUAAAAUUGAGAGGCUCAACCUCUUCGAGCCGUUGAAACUGGUUUUCUUGAGUGAGUGAGAAGUAUGCGGAAUGCGUGGUGUAGCGGUGAAAUGCAUAGAUAUCACGCAGAACUCCGAUUGCGAAGGCAGCAUACCGGCGCUCAACUGACGCUCAUGCACGAAAGUGUGGGUAUCGAACAGGAUUAGAUACCCUUGUAGUC
rnacentral:rRNA from 1 species